UACGAAGGGUGCUAGCGUUGUUCGGAAUUACUGGGCGUAAAGCGCGCGUAGGCGGCCGUACUCGUCAGGGGUGAAAUCCCGGGGCUCAACCCCGGAACUGCCUUUGAAACUGUACGGCUGGAGUGUGUGAGGGGAUAGCGGAAUUCCUAAUGUAGAGGUGAAAUUCGUAGAUAUUAGGAGGAACACCGGUGGCGAAGGCGGCUAUCUGGCACACAACUGACGCUGAGGUGCGAAAGCGUGGGGAUCAAACAGG
rnacentral:rRNA from 1 species